rnacentral:rRNA from 1 species
UUCGUAGGUGGCAAGCGUUGUCCGGAUUUACUGGGUGUAAAGGGCGUGUAGCCGGGCUGACAAGUCAGAUGUGAAAUCCGGGGGCUCAACCCCCGAACUGCAUUUGAAACUGUUGGUCUUGAGUAUCGGAGAGGCAGGCGGAAUUCCUAGUGUAGCGGUGAAAUGCGUAGAUAUUAGGAGGAACACCAGUGGCGAAGGCGGCCUGCUGGACGACAACUGACGGUGAGGCGCGAAAGCGUGGGGAGCAAACAGG